GACGAACGCUGGCGGCGUGCUUAACACAUGCAAGUCGAACGAUGAAGCUGGAGCUUGCUCCGGUGGAUUAGUGGCGAACGGGUGUGUAACACGUGAGCAAUCUGCCCUUGACUCUGGGAUAACUGCGGGAAACUGUAGCUAAUACCGGAUACGAGGCUCGAAGGCAUCUUCGGGUCUGGAAAGAAUUUCGGUCAAGGAUGAGCUCGCGGCCGAUCAGCUUGUUGGUGAGGUAAUGGCUCACCAAGGCGACGACGGGUAGCCGGCCUGAGAGGGUGACCGGCCACACUGGGACUGAGACACGGCCCAGACUCCUACGGGAGGCAGCAGUGGGGAAUAUUGCACAAUGGGCGAAAGCCUGAUGCAGCAACGCCGCGUGAGGGAUGAAGGCCUUCGGGUUGUAAACCUCUUUUAGCAGGGAAGAAGCGAAAGUGACGGUACCUGCAGAAAAAGCACCGGCUAACUACGUGCCAGCCGCCGCGGUAA
rnacentral:rRNA from 1 species